GUUUUACAUUCACUUAGAACUUACUCACGUUCACGUGGCAUCUACUCUCUUUAAAUCAUGAAAUACCUAUAUAAUUCUGCAGGAUCCACUCUCCUUAAAUCAUGGAACACUUAUAUAUUCUUGUGAAUGAGGGAGCAUUGCAUCUUGUGCAUUUGUUUACUUGCACUUCAGAAAUAUGACUAGAGAAGCUGCCCUCGAGGAAGAGACCAAGCAAUGGAGGCAAAGAUCAAACAGAGACCCACCAAGGACAAUUUUUUACCAAAGAAGUUAUGGUACCUGUCAUUAUGUUGAUUGUGUAUUCACAAGAAUUUCAUGCUAUAAUGCACAUCCUUUAAGUUCACAUUUAACAUCCGAAAGAACAUCACCAACUUGUAAAACACAAAAAGGCCUGUAAAACACAGCAUUUACUCUUUAUGCCAGGCUACAAUCAUACAGAAAAUAAACAAGGCUGUUCAAUUCCAAAAUGUACAGGUCAAAAAAGGUGAGAUGAAGCGUGCAGCUCUGGAGCAAACAAUGUAAUAUUCAAGCUGCAUGCCUAAAGCCUAAUGCAUAAUGAAUAUAUUCCUUUUUGACGUUUUCAAGUUUGUCAUCUACGCAUGCAAACAUGCAAAAGUCAUCCCUUGCUCAUCUCUCAAUCUGAGCUUCACAAUAACCUUCCAAACCUCUGGUCACCAAUAACAAGGAUGAAUUUCUUCAUGUUCAAAGCAAAUCUUCUUUGAUUUAAAGACCUAUAUAUCAAAGAAAUUAAAAUAUAUGACAAUCAUUUGAUAAGAAAUGAAGUUAGAAAUUAAGCUGAAAAUUAGGGAAUACAAUGCAUAUCAUAUCAGAAAUUCAAUGGUAAAGGAGUAAAUCAACAGUGAAAUUAAAUAAGGUUAUUCUUAGGAAAGGAGAAAACUUUUACCUUUCUUUGGCUUUAAUGCUCUGUGUCAUUAACCUUUAGCAAUUUUCAUAAUUAAACCUGAGCCAAUGGAAACUUGGGCCACAUAUGAGACUGACCUCCAUGCUGCUUAUGUUAUGACAAGAAGAAGAAACCUUCAUGUACUACUUUUAACAAUCAAUCUAUGUCACAUUAGAUAACAGGAAUGGAAUAAACACCUCCAUUAUAUAAGAAAAUCAGAAACGACUAGAGUAUUCAACUACAAACUGAGCAUGUUGACGCAACAUUAUGAUGCCUAUAAACUUGGUUGCAAUAAUAAAUUCAUAAUGCUUCCUUCAAUACCAACAAAAAUUCUACCCAGACUGCUAAAAAAGAUCAUAGAUAAAAUUUAAUUCAAAUUCCACCAUAAUUUUUCAAACAAGUCUGUUUUGCAAAUGCCAAGAGGGCAUGUCGAGAAAUGAUGGAUCCAGUGAAAUGACCUCGUUAUCCAAAAUCCAAAGUGAAAUUCCUCCAAGUCCAUUUUACAAUAACAUAUUAUAUCAGUCAUGCUUAACAUGUGAACUUUGCACAGCACGAUGCUGUCAAAUAUAUCUCUUGUGCAAGGAAACUACAUAUGUAUUUGUGGUUAAAUGAACAUCUCAAAAGGAUGGCUCAAUUGACAGGGUUGCCAAGAUUAAAACAAAUAAAAAGCAGAGGAAGAAGGUAAUUCACCAUCAAAGAAGCUUCAAGCAAAGAACCUGAUCCCUUCAAUGCAUAUUUCAAAUAACAAUCUGCCCUUUUCUAUUUGAUCCCCUGGAUCUUCUUCUAUCAAUCUCUUAAUUUCUUAUGUCCCCAGAAUUUUGUCAAAAUGAUUGUAUCUUCCAAUGGGGCCUUUUCGAACAGAAUUCCAAUUUUCUGAUGUCAACCUUUUCCCUCCUUGUUCAUUUGUUACCAAUUAUCAUCAUAUCAAUUCACAAAUCCAAUUUCACUGCCUCAUCAUUACCUGCAUCCUCACUUCAGACUCUGAAUAGUCCAAAUCCUCAAAUUCAGCAUCACAAGAGCGUUUUAACUUAUCUUCCUCCCUUUUACAACUUUUAUCUCUUACUGUUCUUUCUUUCCCUUGAUGGAUGAGGCAACCCACCUUUUCGACCAAGAACCUAAAGCUCCACUAGCUGCUUUUCUUGGCCUUUCAUUAGCUUUAUUCAUAAGAUGAACAUACAUAAACCUCAUACCCAUCAAAGGAUGUUUUAUUACCAAGAAAUCCUUCCUAUAUGCCUCCCUAAGCAUUACAGUUUGGGUCCUAAUCUUAUUAGAAACAUAAAAGAAUUUGCCGAUGAUGCACCAAAGCCUUCUUAAACCUAUUUCCAAAC
rnacentral:misc_RNA from 1 species